UACGUAGGGUGCAAGCGUUAAUCGGAAUUACUGGGCGUAAAGCGUGCGCAGGCGGUUAUGUAAGACAGGUGUGAAAUCCCCGGGCUUAACCUGGGAACUGCAUUUGUGACUGCAUAGCUAGAGUACGGUAGAGGGGGAUGGAAUUCCGCGUGUAGCAGUGAAAUGCGUAGAUAUCAGGAGGAACACCGGUGGCGAAGGCGGCUUUCUGGGACAGAUACCGACGCUGAGGCACGAAAGCUAGGGGGAGCAAACAGG
rnacentral:rRNA from 1 species